rnacentral:rRNA from 1 species
AGUGAACGCUGGCGGUAGGCCUAACACAUGCAAGUCGAACGGCAGCACAGUAAGAGCUUGCUCUUACGGGUGGCGAGUGGCGGACGGGUGAGGAAUACAUCGGAAUCUACUUUUUCGUGGGGGAUAACGUAGGGAAACUUACGCUAAUACCGCAUACGACCUACGGGUGAAAGUAGGGGAUCUUCGGACCUUGCGCGAUUGAAUGAGCCGAUGUCGGAUUAGCUAGUUGGCGGGGUAAAGGCCCACCAAGGCGACGAUCCGUAGCUGGUCUGAGAGGAUGAUCAGCCACACUGGAACUGAGACACGGUCCAGACUCCUACGGGAGGCAGCAGUGGGGAAUAUUGGACAAUGGGCGCAAGCCUGAUCCAGCCAUACUGCGUGGGUGAAGAAGGCCUUCGGGUUGUAAAGCCCUUUUGUUGGGAAAGAAAAGCAGCAGGUUAAUACCCCGCUGUUCUGACGGUACCCAAAGAAUAAGCACCGGCUAACUUCGUG